rnacentral:rRNA from 1 species
CGCGUAGGCGGCCAGUUAAGUCAGAUGUGAAAGCCCGGGGCUCAACCCCGGAAGUGCAUUUGAAACUAAUUGGCUUGAGUAUGGGAGAGGGAAGUGGAAUUCCUGGUGUAGAGGUGAAAUUCGUAGAUAUCAGGAGGAACACCGGUGGCGAAGGCGACUUCCUGGACCAAUACUGACGCUGAGGCGCGAAGGCGUGGGGAGCAAACAGGAUUAGAUACCCUGGUAGUCC